GCGGGCGUGGCGGAAUGGUAGACGCAUGGGACUUAAACUCCCUGGGGCGAUGAGCCCGUGCCGGUUCAAGUCCGGCCGCCCGUA
rnacentral:tRNA from 1 species